AGAGCAGCCAGACUCGAAAAUGCAAAUCAAGGUGUCCUGCAUGCUAUCUUCAAAGGCAAAAGCUGGUGGGCAGGGCAGACAUGGCAAAAACUAAACGCAGGGUUCUUGAUUAAAAAAAGAAGAAGAAAGGACACUGCCGGAGUAAAUGACAGGAUAAAAGUGGACACAAACAGCACCGAUGACAACAUCUGGAGGUUCCCCCUGGUCUCCACGUCACCUCAAAAGCACAUUGGAGGGAGUCGGGCGGUAACGCAGCGGGUUAAGCGCACGUGGCGCAAGGACCGGCGUAAGGAUCCCGGUUCGAGCCCCCGGUUCCCCACCUGCAAGAGAGUCGCUUCAUGAGCAGUGAAGCAGGUCUUCGGGUGUCUGUCUUUCUCUCCCCCUCCUCUCUCCAUGUCUCUCUGUCCUACUCAACAGCGAUGACAGCAAUAACAACAAUAAUAAACAACAAAGGCAACAAAAGGAAAAAUAAAUAAAUACAUUAAAAAAAAAAA